rnacentral:rRNA from 1 species
UACAGAGGUCUCAAGCGUUGUUCGGAUUCAUUGGGCGUAAAGGGUGCGUAGGUGGUGGGGUAAGUCGGAUGUGAAAUCUCCGAGCUCAACUCGGAAAUGGCAUUGGAAACUACCCUGCUCGAGGGUCGGAGGGGGGACUGGAAUGCUUGGUGUAGCAGUCAAAUGCGUAGAUAUCAAGCGGAACACCAGUGGCGAAGGCGAGUCCCUGGACGACUCCUGACACUGAGGCACGAAAGCUAGGGGAGCAAACAGG